AGUGAAGGGCGUGAGCCUUGGCCAGACUGCCUGGGUUGGAAUCCCGGCUCUGCCAUGGAUCUGCCGUGAGUCUCAGCCAGCCACUUUCCUUUCCGGGCCUCAGUUUCCUUAUCUGUCAAAUGGGAAUGGUAUGGUGCGCAACUGUAUGAGGGGUCAUGCGUGACACGUGGAUUGUGCUGUCAGGAGCUCGGGGGAGUACGUGCCCCUGGAAAGCACUAGAGCCAUGCCAGCGUUCAGUGAGCUCUGUGAGGUGACAGGAAGCUCCCAAGGCCAGGCCUAGGGCUUCUGGUGCGUGGGCAGGGGAGCGGAGACAGCUUCCUCUUUUGAAAGGUUGGCAGGAGCGAAGUGGAGGCUGAUGGAUGUAGGAGAAGAUCUCACACAGGCUGGGGGGCAAGUGUGGGUGCCCUGAGGUGCCCAGGGAGGGGAGCGUAAGGCAGGGCAGACCCGGGAGGGCCACGAGUGCCAGGCGAGGAGCAUGGUGGCUUCCAUCCUGAGGGUGAUACGGCCAUGAGGGGUUUAAUAGGUGGGGCAGGGUCAGCUCAGGGGGCCCAGAUAUGGGGGGAGACCAGCCUGGGAGCAUCUGGGGACACUUUCUGGAAGACGUGAGUACUACAGCACUAAGAGUUUGCUAGAAGGGCAGGAAUGAAGGGCCCUCCCAGUACAAAGGUGUGAAGACGGUGGUGAACUGCGCGGGGAAGGGGCGAAGACGGUGGUGAACUGCGGGGAAGGGGUGAAGACGGUGGUGAACUGCGCGGGGAAGGGGCGAAGACGGUGGUGAACUGCGCGGGGAAGGGGUGAAGACGGUGGUGAACUGCGUGGGGAAGGGGCGAAGACGGUGGUGAACUGCGAACUGUGCGGGGUAGGGGUGAAGACGGUGGUGAACUGCGCGGGGAAGGGGUGAAGACGGUGGUGAACUGCAGGGAAGGGGUGAAGACGGUGAACUGCGGGGAAGGGGCGAAGACGGUGGUGAACUGCAGGGAAGGGGUGAAGACGGUGGUGAACUGCGUGGGGAAGGGGUGAAGACGGUGGUGAACUGCGAACUGCGCGGGGUAGGGGUGAAGACGGUGGUGAACUGCGCGGGGAAGGUGUGAAGACGGUGGUGAACUGCGCGGAGAAGGGGUGAAGACGGUGGUGAACUGCAGGGAAGGGGUGAAGACGGUGGUGAACUGCGUGGGGAAGGGGUGAAGACGGUGGUGAACUGCGAACUGCGCGGGGUAGGGGUGAAGACGGUGGUGAACUGCGGGGAAGGGGUGAAGACGGUGGUGAACUGCGCGGAGAAGGGGCGAAGACGGUGGUGAACUGCGCGGGGAAGGGGCGAAGACGGUGGUGAACUGCGCGGGGAAGGGGCGAAGACAGUGGUGAACUGCAGGGAAGGGGCGAAGACGGUGGUGAACUGCGGGGAAGGGGCGAAGACGGUGGUGAACUGCGGGGAAGGGGCGAAGACGGUGGUGAACUGCGCGGGGAAGGGGCGAAGACGGUGGUGAACUGCGCGGGGAAGGGGUGAAGACGGUGGUGAACUGCGCGGGGAAGGGGCGAAGACGGUGGUGAACUGCGGGGAAGGUGUGAAGACGGUGGUGAACUGCGCGGGGAAGGAGGAGGCGAGUGCCGGCUGCAGGAGCCGGGGCAGCUGAGGGCCCACCAGUGCCCUGGGUAUGCUGAGGGGUCGGGGUGAGGUCU
rnacentral:lncRNA from 10 species